rfam:Oryza sativa (indica cultivar-group) chromosome 5, whole genome shotgun sequence.
GAUUUCAACUAAAAAAGUCAUCAACAACAAAGUUGUGAUGAACUCACCAAGAUCUAUAACUUUUAUGUGUGUUAUUUCUUCAUCCGAUAAAGUGCUAGUAACAUUGUUCACAAAAUUCACACAUUUGUGUUAUAGUUUAUAAAACUAGAUGAGAGAUAUGUGAAUUUUGUGAACAAUAUUACUAUCACUUUGUCGGAUGAAGAAAUGACCAAAAUAAAAGUUAUAGAUCUUGAUGAGUUGUACAACUUUGUUGUUGAUGACUUUUUCAGUUGAAAUC